UCUGCCCGUUGCUCUGAUGAUUCAU
rnacentral:ncRNA from 2 species